ensembl:lncRNA
UUGUGGUCUAAUAUUGAUAAUAGUAAUUCAUAAGUAAUAAUGACCUGUCUGGCAGCAGCUGGCGGUGAUCCGAGGGCAAGGCACGUCUCUGGUUUGGGUUUGGGCAGUACUUGUGGUUUCAUCUUGAUUUUUGUGUCUUCUGGGAGUUUCACCGUCACUUCAACAGAUCCAUGAGGUUUGAGAUCAACUUUAUGGAUCCUUUUGUCAAGCACCUUCUUCAGAUCUGGAAAACAGGGAAAUUCUCUGUAAAACUUACAUUUGCCAAGUCAUCUCGGGUUUUCAGCAGAUCUUUUAUUUAAAUGUUGUGGUUAGUUUGCGCUAUAUUAUUGUAAUAUCAGAUAGGAUGUUGAUAUAGGCUCACCUUCCUCGCUUAUAUAAACCAGAAGCGCUUUUCGUUUGUCGUCUGGAUGCUCUCGAAUCUGCACGAUUUCUCCUCCAGACCUUCUUUUGUUUUUGAAGUAAAGCUCGAUCUUUGCUUUGACUCUGUGGAAAUCUUCCGGCAGACCCUCGAGAAUCAGACUCUUCUCUUCCAUCUUUGCGCUCCCAAUCCGAACAAACACUUAUAUUACGGUCUUAUAAAAACCGUAUAACGUCCCGACGACACAUGUUUUCACUCGAAGGUGAUCCGGAUCACAUCUGAAGGAACUGCUCGGUUACCGGUGUUUUACUGAAAUCUGACUCCCGAAAGUUACUUUCACUUUUGCUUUCCUCGAAGUGUGCUCACGUGACUUCUGCUCAACACAGUCCAGAGAUCUGCUCCAGGAUCAGGAAGCUGGGAGGAAACAUCUAUCCGAUCAGUUAGUCAUUCGACGAGUAUUUGGUGGUUUGAUUCGGAUUUUACCUGGAGUUUACAUUCGCUUCAGAUACUUACGGUUUCGGGUGAAUUAUGUCUGACGCCGAUGAGAAUCGAGUCAACGGCGAGCUUCGAGCGGACAUGAGCGACGCUGCGGCGGAAAUCAAGAAAUACAAGGAUCUGAUCGAGUCUGCAGACACUGAAAGAUCCAGGCUGCUGCUGGAAAAAGCUGAAGCGGAGACUGAAAAGAGAAAAGCCGAGGCAGAGCUUCAGAGCUUCAUGGAUGACGAAGACAAGAUUUUUGACAAGUUUAAUAAAGAUCUCGUAGAAGUGCAGGAGGAGAGGACGAGUCUGGAUCGAGCCCAGCAGGAUCUAAAGAGAGAACUUCAUGAUCUUCAGAAGAAGCUUCAGCUCAAGAGAGACGAAAGUGAUUCUCUGCAGCGCAAAUUCAAGGUUGACCUGUUUUACUAUUACAAUCUGUACAUUUACCUUUACCUGUAGUCUACAAUUUAUUCAUUGAUUACAGACUACAGCUACUUGUAUUGAUCAAAGUUGCUGGACUUGUUUAGUGAUAAUAUAAAACACGAUAGCCGACAGAAGUAAAUAUGGAGAGGAUCAGAUGUAGUUCACUCUUCUUCCAGUCUGUUUAUUUAUAUAAUGUUUUAUACAAUACAGAACAGGAAAAUAAUUAUUCAAUGAAUUCUUCAAAAUUUAGACAGUCUAUGAUUUGUAGUUUUUUCUUGAACAUUUUCUAUUUAUGUUUGUAUUUCUAAAUUUUGAAGAAUUCUGCGUCAAGCAGAGAGACGCUUUAACUUGAUGAAAAAUACAUAAUUACGGAGCCCGGCACGUCACCUGUAGGAGAAAAAAAUACAAUCCGUCCCCUCAGUUUAUAAAC